UACAGAGGGUGCGAGCGUUGUCCGAAAUCACUGGGCGUAAAGGGCGCGUAGGCGGUCGCGUAAGCGUGUGGUGAAAGCCCGGGGCUCAACCCCGGGUCGGCCAUGCGAACUGCGGGACUGGAGCAGAUCAGAGGCAGGCGGAAUUCCGGGUGUAGCGGUGGAAUGCGUAGAGAUCCGGAAGAACACCGGUGGCGAAGGCGGCCUGCUGGGAUCUUGCUGACGCUG
rnacentral:rRNA from 1 species